CGUGUGGUGCCCGGCUUAGGAUCGGGAGAGCGACACGGCCUUAAAUGUUUGAGGU
rfam:Photobacterium ganghwense strain DSM 22954 contig0024, whole genome shotgun sequence.